rnacentral:rRNA from 1 species
UAAGUCUGUAGUGAAAUUGUGUGGCUCAACCAUACACCCAUUACGGAAACUGCUAAGCUAGAGGAUGAGAGAGGUUAUUGGAAUUCCUAGUGUAGGAGUGAAAUCCGUAGAUAUUAGGAGGAACACCGAUGGCGUAGGCAGAUAACUGGCUCAUUCCUGACGCUCAGGCACGAAAGCGUGGGAGCAAACGGGAUUAGAUACCCGGUAGUCCACGCCGUAAACGAUGGAUGCUA